rnacentral:rRNA from 1 species
UACGAAGGGUGCUAGCGUUGUUCGGAAUCACUGGGCGUAAAGCGCGCGUAGGCGGCUUUUCAAGUCAGAGGUGAAAUCCUGGAGCUCAACUCCAGAACUGCCUUUGAUACUGAAGAUCUUGAGUUCGGGAGAGGUGAGUGGAACUGCGAGUGUAGAGGUGAAAUUCGUAGAUAUUCGCAAGAACACCAGUGGCGAAGGCGGCUCACUGGCCCGAUACUGACGCUGAGGCACGAAAGCGUGGGGAGCAAACAGG